rnacentral:lncRNA from 1 species
CUACAACAUGCAUGAACCUUGAGGACAUUAUGCUGUGUGAAAUAAUUUCAGUUUUGCAAGGAUAAAAAAGUUCUGGAGAUUAUUGCACAGUUCAUUUUGUAAGUGAAUGUACUUACAAAUGGACUGUAUACUUAAAAACAAUUUAGAUGGUCAGUUUUACAUGAUGUGUAUUUCUUGACAAAGUUUUAAGGAUGGAGUCAGAGUCCUGGCAAACCUUCAAAUGUCUGACCCUUCCCCACAUUACAGUCUGAGGAAUCAAACCAAUACUGUAAUGAAAAUAUGGCUAAAAUCGGUGGCCAAAUUACAGUAGUUGCGGGGAUCUACCAGAUCCCUGGGAGACGGAAAUACAAGCCGUCCUUUGCAAACAAAGAUGACAUUACUGACCCCAAACUGACAAAGCCAGGGUGAAGGCUGCUGUGUUCCCCACUCCAUGUCCAUCACUUCACCCGUGUUCUCCUACUUUAAAGUGCCUGGCCUGGACUGGCUACUCCAUUUGGAUUUGGAGAGCAAAUUAACAAAUCAAUCCAAGGUUCAGGGGAAUGAACCAAGCAGCUCUAUGGCAGAGAGCCCUCAAGAGUUUAAAAACGCAAACUGAUUGCCUCUUUCUGGACAAAUUCGAGGGAUGAUUUCUGUGAAAUAUGGUAAAGGAGGUUCUUGUGAAAGCCCCAGGUUUUACUGAGAAUGUGUGAUAUCCUGAGCACAGUUUUGAUUUGUCUUCUGUGUAUGUGUAUAAACCACAAAAGCAGUUAACUGUUGAUGGCCAAAUAACAAAUGUCUCUGCCUCUCCCAGGAGAGAUUAAAUAGUUCUGGGUUGAGGGGAAAAAAAUAGAAGAUCAAAAGAAGAUCCAGACAUCCCCGGCUGGCAGGCAGCAAGAGGUCUCUUGGCCAAGGGAGGGUAACCUUUGCCUGAACUUAGAGGAAUGUGGAAAACGGGUUCUGGGUUGAGAAGAAAAUCUGUAAGAUGCUUCACCUAAGGAAGGCAGACCAGGAUUCUGAACUGCAUGCCUGAAAUGCUCUGACCUGGCCAUGAUAUUUACUUCUAAGCCUUUGCCCUUUACACUUAAAUUGAACGAAAAAGAUGUUUUCUUUCUUGUUUGAAAAUGAUGGCACAUAAAGCAAGUUUGAGGUGAAAGUAGUAUCUUUGUAUAAUUGGUCCAAUACCUGUGGGAAAAUAAGCCAGAUAUCAGAUGACGUAAUUCAUACACGCUGACCUAUUCAUUCCCCUUCUCCAAGACUAAAAUCGUAAAGAAGAGUAGCACAUAUUACGAUUUUCCUGAAAACGUAUUUGAACAAAUUUUGAGUUCUUUAAAAAAGAAAAAAAAAAACUCAUUAGGAAAAAGACUUUGGAGGAGAUAAAACAUUAUCCACAUUACACCUAAGGCCGUACUAACCCCCUUCAUAAGCCCUGAUUCAUGGGUACCACUUCGUGGUUUAGAGACAAAUCACCAACCACAGCAUCCUGAGCAGAUCUGAAAAUGCUUCUCUGACACCUGAGAUCACCCAGACAACACUGUCUGUCAAAAAGAUCUCAUUCUAUAGGCACCCAGACGGUUUUUUUUUUUUAAUGUUAAUGAGUUAUGCCUAGCAGCUAGCUCACAGUGCACAGCUAUUCAAUUCUUCCAACGGGUAAUAAAAGCAUCCUGCUCCUGCCCUCAGAAGCCUCAAACAAAAUGCAAGCAAGUUGUGAAAACAACUUGACCCCCAUGCCCAGGGCUGCAAGAGAAUCUCUAGGGCUCAGGAAAAAAAGAAAAGACAACAAAAACAAACAAACAAAAAAACCCUGAAACCUUGACCCCUAAUACUAUAAUGCAAAUGAAUGUUGAUUAGAAGGCAAACAAAACCUUUUUCUGCCUAAGGAUUCUUUCCAAACACAAGGCUUAGAACACAAAGGAUUUUUGCCAAAUUCUUCCAAAUGGAGAAGGAAAUAACGGGGAAGUCUUUUGUCCUUUCAAAAGCUUACCCUCUGAAUUCAGAACCUAAGUAAUGCCUACACUUUCAUUUAAAAAGUGUUACUUAGAAAUCAAUCUACCUAUCUCAGGGUCCUCUCCUCUCACUCCUAAGAAAGGAACCAUCCAGUUCUGCAAAAUAGGAAGUCUGGGGCUGUGCCCACCUGUCAAACUUCUCUUUCACGUGGUAACAUCUCCAUCUGCUGGAAAGUUAGAUGUCUGCAUUAAAGGCAGAUAAUGUUAGUUUUAUUUUCCUAUCAAUCUAGGUCAAAUGUACAUUUCCUCUUCCUCAUUUACACGCAUUUCCAUGUUGUUCAAAAUAACCAGCUUUCCCCCUUAUUUCUGAGCCCCCCCUCAACAGUGGUCUUCAUCUCUGUGGCGUUUGCAGGACCUCCCCUAACCCCUUCCUCAGUCCCCGCCCCACAGUUUCAGCAGGUCCCCAUCAGUCUUUCCUUAUAACACUGUACAUCCUUAGGUUAGUCCAGAAACCCUUCUCUGAAGCUGGAUAUUGUUCACCUGGAGGUCAGGGGUUCCUUCCUGUCCCUCCACCACCACGGCUGGCAUUCCUUUGAACUGUGAUCUUAACUGUUCACAGCACGAGGUCUUUUAUUUGGCUGGGCAAACUGUUCAAGAACUGCCCGUUUUCGUCUUUGAUUUUAAAAAGAAAUAAACCUGCAAACACCUGGGCAGUGAGGAUGAGGUUGUGGUUGCCUCUCUCUUGUUUCUGGUGUCUCCAAGGCUUUCAAAGUAAACCAACGUGCAAUUCUAUUUAUAAAUUAUUGCUUCCUGGCAGUAAACGCCCAGCAUGAACCUGAGCAGCUUUCUGGGCUUCCAUCUCUUUAUUUGUACAGUAAGGAAGUGUGGCUGAUCUCUUAAGUCCAUGCUAUUUAUGAUGGUUAGAGGAAAAUGAGGCCCAGACAAGAAAAGAAGCCAUCUGCUUCGGGAGCCUCUCAAAGACAACAAACUUGAUAGCAUCGGGGGUUGGCAAGGAAAUAAAAAUGAGGCUAAUCUUGUCCUCCUCUUUGGUGAAGGACCAGCUAGACACGAGAACAUCGGACUAUAAGAAAGCAGGAAUCUUAUAAGCCCGAGAGAACCCAAUCCUCCUCCUCUUCCUAAAGAAAACUCAGAACUGAAGAACUGGACAGGAAGGUAGGUCCUCCUGUAUCCUCCAUAGCAGCUAAAACAUAUCUGAGAAGGAGAAAAUGAGAAAAGCUAAAGAAAAACAUCCUCUCUUCCUCUGUCUCUCUCUCGACGGUCGCCUGAUCCAGGAGGUAGAAGCCCUAAACAUUUUUGAUUUCACCAACUGGUUUAAAACAUGUUAUGUUUCACGUAGGAGAAAGAAUUGGGUUUAUUAAACAGUGACUCAUAGCAAUAUAAGAUAUAUUAAAAAUGAUGCUUUAAUUAUGCUAAUAUGUAAGUGAAGUCCAUUAAAAGGAAAAGCAUAAAGGAGUGGAACAGUGGCUAUGACAGGACUAAAUUUUGGGUCCCCAGCACUUUAUACAUAUGAUGACUGCAUUAUGGUGUUUUUCCUACUCAUGCCCCACGUAGAUUCUGAGUUCUUUGAGGAUGAUGGAACCUUGUUUUCUCAGCCUGGUAGCCUAGAUAGAGGUCCUCUCACAUUACAGGCAGUAAAUGCUUAUCAAAUCGAAAUGAACGGACCAGAGCCCAUUCUAAUGGUCCAUCCACAUGUGGAGAGCAGAUGGCUGGUGAUCUACUUGCCAAAGUGCUGGCCACUCAUUCAUCUGGUGGGAGCUCCCCAGGUCUCCGUCAUGCAGCCUUUAUAAGAAUUAGAAUAGGUAUCCCUUCUACAACGUACUUUACUUUCUCCUGAUAGAAAAUCGUUGUCAUGUAUUGAGAGUGUUAGAAAAAAGCCACAUUUUUGCUGUCUGCCAGAAAGUUGUCAUAGAAAAUAUGCAAAUCACUCAUUGCUAGAGUCAACACAGUCUUAAUAAAAAUAUGAAGAAAAUCAAAACAAUAAAGAUACCUACAAUAUAAAUACUGCCCCUGGAGAUGCAGUCACCUGUGCAGUGCACAACCUGAACAACUGUGCAAGGCAGAUGAUUUCUUUCAAGCAUCUUUAUGCCUAGCCCUGAAAAACUGAGCCUAUGAGUUCAUGGCAAAUGGUUGAACCAUUUAUGUUCUGCUACUUUUAUGUUGGUUUCAGAAAAGCCACUGAUUGAAAGAGGCAGGAGUGUGUAUGUGUAUGUAUGUAUAUUAGGGAGUUGGGAAGGGGGCAAGUGGUAAUCACAAGUUAGAUCACAAGAAUUCUAAAGAAUAACUUCUUUCCAUCACAGCGUUCUUGGGUCCAGCAAGUUUGAUCUGUAGACUUUUAUGCCAAAGGAUUUGCCUGGUGAUAGACUGUUAGUUUAGGUACCAUAUAGCUGUGCUGACACAUAAUGUCCACAGCACUCUGGGUGUUGUUCAUAAACCCACAGGCACACUCAUCAGGUCUGUUCUCUUCCCUUAUCCUCUCUGCAGAUAUACACUGCAGACCACCACCUCAGCGCUCUCCUGUCCCUUUACAUCCCUACCACUGAAGUCUUGGGAUUGACCUCCUCUUGGGCCAUUCUUCUCUGGUUCUUUUCCCUCCACCCCUGAUGUAGGCAUCCUCCAAAGGUAUGUCUCAGAGUCUGAAGCUCCUUCUCCACUCUCCUCUUUCCAUGUGUCCCAGAUAGAGAAUGUCCACACGCCUCUGCAUCCCAGUCUCUGCAGGACCUGCGGUCCUGGCUCUCCCUAAGCCUGCUCAGAUUCCCACUGGCACAGCCUGUCUUCACCUCAAACUCACUUGAUCACUAAACUCAAGCUCUCAACUUCCACCCACCUCUGUCCUUCCCCACUGGACUUCCUAUUUUAUGUCAAGGCUGCCGGGAUUCUGGUCACACAGCUUCAAAACACUGUCAUCUUUAACUCUUCUCUGGUCUUAACUCCUACAUGAAGUCAGCCAUUCAGCCCAGUUUAUUCCGCUUUGAGAAUGCCUCAUUCAUAUGUCAAUUUCCUUCCACUUCCGAAACCAGCCACCUCAAGUCUGAAUAACUGUGCCAGCCUCCUAUUGGUCCCUCCCCUGCUUAUCACCCUGCUCACACUUGCUAGGUCACAACUCCUACAGAUCUCUUUCAAGUGUCACCCCGUUUCCCAACUCAGAGCCAUUGGUGGCUCCCGCCUACAGCACCAAGUCCAAAAUCCAGAGCUGGGAAAUUAAGACCCUCCAAAAUCUGAUUUUAUUGAUUGUUUCAGACUGGUAUUCUUAUGGGACCCAAUCAUUUUAAAAAUUCUGACCUCUGUGCCUUUAUUUAUACUUGAUGCCAUCAUCUAGAAUCCCUUUCUUGGAAUGGGGGGGGGGGCAGGCUGAGGUGAUGAUAGGCAGGACUAGGUAUUUGUGAAAAUUAGCUGGCUUUGAUUGGGAGAGUGUUUGCAAACGUGAGAAAGGGGAGAAAGCUUUGUUUUUCUCAGGACAAUCAAAAUUUUGUAUGUCCAAGGGCAGAUCCAAGACAUCUGACUCAGCCACCAGAGAAGGUCAUGGGGGCAGCUAGAGAAAGGUCCUAAUUCAGAACAAAGGGCUGAGAAGCUGGUCAAACUGUUAUAGGCUUCGAGUCCCCUUCAGGGAUAUUAAACCCUUUUAAAAGCCUCUGGCCAUGUCUCACUGUAAUGUCCCUCCCCCCACCUUGACCAGCCUGGGCUGCUCACUCCCUGCUAGAGAAGGAAUAUCACCCAUUCCUCACCUGGCUUUUCUAUAACCUGUUCCCCAUGCAAAUAAGGUAUCCUGCCCAAGACCAAUCAGAAGAUCAAAUUGGGUCUCCACUCAGGCUGCAUUGUGGGGGUAUAAAGACUAUUGCAGAGUGAGUCCGGCCCUCUUUUUAACCUGGGCGCAUACAAGGUCCUCUCUCUCCCUCUCUGAAAAUGUACUUUAGCUUUAAUAAAUUUGUAAAACGUCCGCUGUUCUAAUGCUUUGCUUUGACGAAACGAGGACCAAGGAAACUGUGAUUCUAUCACAACAGUGAUAGGGCAGGCCAUCAUCCAAGAGCCAGAGGGGUGGUGAUCACUAUAGGGGAGCUCCAGUGACCUGUACUGAAGGCCCAGUUAUAGCAAGACUAGUGUCAAGGGGCAGGACACCCAAAUUGGGACAUGAGAAAGGAGGGUGGGUCUUGGAAAACUAGAGCACAAGGUCGGAACAGAACCUGCAGCCAGACUGUCAGUCCAAGCAGGGCCUUCAUCUUCAUCUACAUAAACUCAGGAUUGGCUCCAGAUCAGAGAUGGUGGCACUGGGGACAUGAUUACGUCUUAUUCCUACACACACUGCAGACAUAGGUAAUCGAUCACAGCACUCUCACUCUGGGCCCAGCAAUAGUUUCAGAAUCCUUCAUGCAAGAUCUCCAAACAGCCACUGUCAGUCAGUUGAAACUAGCACAUGAGAUAAAAUCUACUUGUCAUGCCUGUCCCCAAGUCACAGCUAGAACCAAAUCUGUAUGUGAGAGUUCACUGGCUCAGCAGUAAGUAACAGGGAGACAGAGCUGCAGGGUGUUAGGUUAGUGGUUCCCUAACUUGUGCAUCAUAAGCACCUGGAAGGGUUAUUAAAAGUCAGAUUACUGGGUCCCACCUCCAGGGUCUCUAAUUUUGCAGGUGUAGGGUGACGUCAGAAUCUGCAUUUCUAGCAAGUUCCCAGAUGCUGCUGAUGCUGCUGAUCCAGGCACCACAGUUUGAGAACCACUGCAUCAUUUCUCCUCCUAUUCUCAUCUCUCUGGUCCAGCUGGGGUCCUUUCUCCUUGACAUAAGACGACCUUGUCCAUAUCCACUUUUGGAAAGCAUUAUCAGUACUGCUUAUAUAACCCAUCAACAGACAUGUACUGUGCUGGGAGUGACAGACAGGCAAAGUCCCUGUUUCUAUAAAGUUACAAACAAUGCAAGAGGCAAUUACAAUUCAGUGUGAGGAGUCCUAUGAUGGGGGAAGAACAGGCAGCUGUGGAAACACAGCCAGAGCACCUCACCCAGUCUUAGAAGGGCAGAGGAGGCUGCUCAGGGGAAGGUGAAGCUAAGGUAAGACCUAAAAGAUGAAGAGAAGGUAGUUUGGAACAGGGAGUAGAAACUUACAUAUUGCCUGGGGUUAUUUAUCUUUUUCUUCUCUUUUUAAAAAAAUUUUUACAGUCACACCUCUGGCAUAUGGAAGUUCCUGGGCCAGGGGUCAAAUUGGAGCUGUAGCUGCAGGCCUAUGCCACAGCCACAGCAACAUGGGAUCUGAGCUGCAGCUGCAACCUAUGCUACAGCUUGCAGUAAUGCCUAAUCCUUAACCCACUGAGCGAGGCCAAGAAUCGAACCUGCGUCCUCAGAGAGACAACAUUGUGUCCUUAACCUGCUGAGCCACAACAGGAACUCCAUUUACCUUUUUUUUUUGCCCCAAGAACUUCACUUUUAAUUACAUAUCUCAGACAACCAAAACUCUUGUAAUCAUACAAAAUGAGAUGAAGAAAAUAGUACCCAAUUAUGUUUACCUGUUACAUACACACAGUGAACACACACAAACACACACACUCUGCCUUAACUCCAUGUCUAGACAGUAACCUAUCCAGAUGAAGAACUAAUAUUUAAUCUAUAGAGACAUUCCUUAGGAUGCCUGGGCUCUAGCAGAGAUGGACUUUUUGACUCAUGGAUGGAAUGCAUACAUGUGCAAUAGGCUGGAGUUGUUCUGUAUUUAGGAAGGCACAGGAAAGGAGGAAGGGGGAAUGUGAAGACAUGGGUUUGACUGAAAUCCCCCCCCUGGGAUAUGGUGAAUUCUGUGGCUGUGAGGAUUUCUCUAAUUGCCAGCAGGACAAGGGGUUCGACCUCAAGCCCUAUUAAACCCUGCCUCAGCUGGGUUUGCCGCUUCCAGCCGGCAGCAUAAUCUGCGGACAGUGAUUAAUGGCCCAUAGUCCUAGCUUUUGCGUCCACUCCCAGCCUAAGACACCAUCUGCGAACAGUCUCUUGCUUGAGUAAUAGCUGUGUCUCGCAAAUUGUUUUGCACAUUUAUAAACAGAGAUGGGGCGUUUUCCCCUGCUGCCUUAAUUUCAAGCGAUUAGACUGAGCUCAUUCCUGCAAACAACCUCAUUCCUAGAAUUCAAUAUUUGAGGGUUACCCUCAAGAUUCAUUCCCCAGUGCAGCCUCUGAGGAAGCUGGAGGGAGGCCCCCUCGCUCUGAUGAAAUCAAGGCAGCCUCUUCUGACCACCAGAUGGGUAGACCAUGCUGCUGCGUUCC